UACGGAGGGUGCGAGCGUUGUCCGGAAUUACUGGGCGUAAAGGGCUCGUAGGCGGCCAACUAAGUCAGACGUGAAAUCCCCAGGCUCAACCUGGGAACUGCGUCUGAUACUGGAUGGCUUGAAUCCGGGAGAGGGAUGCAGAAUUCCAGGUGUAGCGGUGAAAUGCGUAGAUAUCAGGAGGAACACCGGUGGCGAAAGCGCUCAUCUGGCCCGAUACUGACGCUGAAGCACGAAAGCUAGGGGAGCAAACGGG
rnacentral:rRNA from 1 species